ACAUCACGCACUCACCUGAUCACGUGACACCUCACCUGCUUCCACCAGGAAGCCCCGAAUACUGAUUACUGGCACUAUAAAGGUGCACGCCAAACAGACUUCAUCGCCGCGUAUUGUAGGUUAUCCUCAUACAAAGCGUUACUUAUCUCUUGUCUCAUUUACUUUGUGUAUGACCUUGCUUUUUGUUUCCCGACGCCGAUUUUUGCCUCUGCCUUUGAUAUUGGAUUGUUUGUGUAUGACCUGGACUGUACUUUCACCACCGCCUUUUGGAUUAUCUCUGAUACUGGAUUGCUUGUGUAUGAACUCUGGACUGUCUCUCGUUUAUGGUAUGGUUUUGUCUUCAUUGCUCUGUCUACUGGUGAUCAACCUUAUUUCUGUAUCGACCCUGAUUAUAUCUGUUUAUUAUCAUAAUAAACAUACUUUAUUUUUAUCAGUAUCUGCGCUUGUCUGCUAUUCUGUUCAGACCAUGACACU